rnacentral:tRNA from 3 species
GCAGGUGAUCAGGGUGGCCACGCCCAGCGCGCCGGGCAGGCGCGCCAGCGCCAGGUGCAUGGAGCGGAACAGCCGUUCGAUCAGGUUGGCCCGUUCCA